rnacentral:rRNA from 1 species
UACGUAGACAGCGAGCGUUGUUCGGAAUUACUGGGCGUAAAGAGUGUGUAGGCGGUGCUCUAAGUUCGGUGUGAAAUCUCCCGGCUUAACUGGGAGGGUGCGCCGGAAACUGGAGUGCUCGAGCGUGGGAGAGGAAAGCGGAAUUCCUGGUGUAGCGGUGAAAUGCGUAGAUAUCAGGAGGAACACCUGCGGUGUAGACGGCUUUCUGGACCAUUGCUGACGCUGAGACACGAAAGCGUGGGUAGCAAACAGG